GAUGAACGCUAGCGGCAGGCUUAACACAUGCAAGUCGAGGGGCAGCACUUGUAGCAAUACAUGGUGGCGACCGGCGCAAGGGUGCGUAACGCGUGAGCAACAUGCCCGUAUCAGGGGGAUAAUCCAGGGAAACUUGGUCUAAUACCCCAUAGCAAUUAUUUGAGGCAUCUUAAAAUAAUUUAAAGCUUUGGUGGAUACGGAUUGGCUCGCGUGACAUUAGCUAGAUGGUAAGGUAACGGCUUACCAUGGCUACGAUGUCUAGGGGUUCUGAGAGGAAGAUCCCCCACACUGGAACUGAGACACGGUCCAGACUCCUACGGGAGGCAGCAGUGAGGAAUAUUGGACAAUGGAUGGAAAUCUGAUCCAGCCAUGCCGCGUGCAGGAAGACGGCCCUAUGGGUUGUAAACUGCUUUUGUGUGGGAGCAAUAAGGUCUAUGCGUAGACUGAUGAGAGUACCAUACGAAUAAGCAUCGGCU
rnacentral:rRNA from 1 species